rnacentral:tRNA from 1 species
UGGAUCAGUUGGUAGAGCAUGGUGUUUGCAACGCCAGGGUUGUGGGUUCAAUUCCCAC